CUUUCUUUCUUUUUCCUCCUUCCUUCCUUCUUUCUUAUAAUUAAUUCUAGCCUUCUAUUCAAUUCUCUAUCUCUUCUCCCCCCCCAAAAAAAUUCCCUCUCUUGUAACAUUUUAAGCAUAAUCAAACAAAACAUUUGUACACAUUCGCCAUGUCUGAAAAAUAUACAUCUCAUUAUGCACUUAUAAACCUCAACUGCCCUGCUAAGAAAUGGAAACCAUACUUUAUCAUCAGUCUUCUAGAGAUAUUCUAUGAGCCACAAGGUCAUAGAUUUAAUGCUUAAAGGGGCCUAAUAAGUUAUUGAAUCCACACCCAACCUCAUAUAGAUGAGGAAACUGUAGCACAGCAAAAUGAACUGAUUUCCCCAGAGUCACAGAUGGUGAAUGUUCAAUGCAGGAUAUUGUUUGUUUGGGGCUUUUUUACAAUAUUUUAGUAAUUGAAUAAAUUUUCUCUUGAGUCUGGUUUUCCAUCCAGUUGUAUUUCUAGGAGUCUCAGAAUUUGUCUCUUUCAUUAUUCUUGCAAUGAAAUAAAAUUCUAUCAUAUUCAAAUAUUUUGGUUUGUUUAGUCAUUCCUCAACUGAUGUGCAUACAAUUUUUCCAAUUCCUUGUUAUAAUUAAGAAAAGGUUAUGUGGCAAAGUGAGUAGAGUGCUGGGUCUGGAGUCAGGAAGAUUUUAGUUCAAAUAUAGCCUUUGUCACAUACUAGCUGUAUAAUCACUUUAUGGGGAAAUGACUUAACCCUAGUUGCCUCAGUUGCCUCAUCUGUAAAAAGAACUGGAGAAGAAAAUGGCAAAGCAUUCCAGUAUCUUUGCCAAGAAAACCUCAAAGGGGACCAUGAAGAGUCAGAUACAACUGAACAAUGACAUUCCUUUUAUGUUUUCCUCUCUUUAUCCCCAAUGCUGCCUCUCCUUUGCAAAAAAAAAAAAAAAAAAAAAAAAAGAGGCAAAAGAUAUUCCCCAUCCCCAAGGUGCUUACCAUCUAAUGGGGGAGAUGAUUUCCCAACAUGCAAAAAGCAUAUCCAAAAUAAACUAUACACAGGAUAUAUAGAAAAUAAUUUAAUAGAAGGAAGGCACUAGAAUGUGAGUUCCAAUGGUUGUUUGUUUGCUUAUUGUUGGGUUUUGGGUUUUUUGUGUGUUUCUUUUUUUUUUUUCAGUUCACCUCUAAUGUAACUCUUCAUAGCAUUCAAUGUUAACUGCCUGUUCUGAUUACUCUUCAUUUCUGAGAUAUCACCUCAUGGAUUUCAUUCCCUCUCCCUUUCACCUUUUUCUUUUUCUUGCAGUAGUUUUUCAUCCUCUUCCUGGCUCCAUCAGGUUGAGUAUUCCCCAAGAGUCUGCCCUUUUUCUCUUUCUCAGUUAUUUCUAAUAGAACAGGGAACUGACCAAUGAGAGCCCAGUCCUUGGGGAAUGCACAAUAGAUUCUGCCUGCUGGGCAACUCAUAUGGAUGUUUGGGAUGUCAACUUCUGGAAAAGAAAAUAGAGGGUCCUACCCUUCACUUCAAAGCCUAUAUAUGUGACAGUUUCCUACUUCCAUGCUUUUGUUUUCUAACUGGUUGCUUAUUCCAAACUGACUGAAUCCACUCUCUCUUCUCUGAUAUUGCUUGAGGCAAAGAACUGUUAUGAACUUCCUGGAAGGAGAGAAGACCCAGCUCCUUCCAAAUGGAUAACACAUGGCCUGGAACAUAUGGUUCCUCUCUUUCUUCUGUCUCUGUGGAUCUAUUCUUUCCGAUUACGAGGUGAAAGAGGAUUGAAGAUUGAAUGACCUCAUGAAAUUCCAAAGGUCAGAGGAUCAUCAAAGGUCCAGAAACUCAAAUCCAAAUGAAAGUUUGACAGCAGCUGGACCUGGUACACGAAGUCAGGCUGACCACAGAGGAUCAUGGAAUGAUCCCACAACCAAAAUGCUAUGUCCUGUAAUGAGAGUCAUCCAGCUGCCCUACCAAAUUUGAAAAUGAACUUGAAGCAAGCAAUUGAAGUGUUAAGUGUUUUCUCUAUGGAAAGAGGGACCAAGGUGACAGAGAGGAAAGUAUGCAACAGUUUGGAGAGAUGUUUUU
ensembl:lncRNA